GAACAAUGGAAUGGAUGUGAUACACCAUGGCAACCCGACAUGACCCAGAAGAACCAGGAGGAGCCUCAAGCUUCAGUGGACCUGGAGAAACUGUCAGGUUCCCUCCUGCAGAACCUCCACCUAAAACUAUGACCAGGGCCCAGGUGGGCACCACUGGGGACAGGUGGCUCAGUGCUGCACUUGGACUUGGGGCAGGGGCUCCCCGUGCCACCUCUCCUCUAGCUCCCCUAGUCUGAGGGCUUUUCCGCCCACUUGGUCCCUGUUCCUGUCCAGCCGGACAGGUCAGGGGUGGUUUCUGGUCUGGGCACUGGGGCACUGGCUCCUGUCUGGGGUGAUUCCUGCUGAGUCACUGGCUGAGGCUCUAAACAGGAUCCCAUGGGCCUAAUCGUGCUGGGGGUGGGUGACCAGGGCCAGAGGGAUGAGACACCGAGUCUAUGUGAAGGAUGGGUGCUGGGCGGGCCACAGCCUGCUGCUCCCCCUCCUUGGUGGCUUCUGUUUCACCCCGGCCCACAGCUCGGCUCUGCAAGGACCCAGCCCCGCUUCCAGGCCUGACCAAGUGCUGCUGGUUAGGAAAGAAGAGAAGAGAAGAUGCGGGGCACCGCCCCCACCAAGAAGCCCUCCACGGGGGAAGGCUGACUACGGCCGCAAUUGGGAUCUCAGCUCUCCGCCCUCUGCCCCCCUUCUUCCACCCACCUCCCGCCUUUCCCGCCUGGUGCCGCUGGCAGAACGGGAACUGUGACUCAAGAGUCUGGAAGACAAGGGGCCUGCCCCCCCUUCCCUCCCCCUUCCCUCCCCCGUCCCUCCCUCCACAUCCGGGCAGGCGUCUGGGCGGGUGGCCGGGCAGGAGCCAGCCUUGGCUGCCACCGAGGACCCUCCCACCUGACGUUCAUCUGGGCUCCGGCCAAGGGCAUCCUCCCGGCGGGGCAGACGCUCCACGUGGAUUCCUACUGGCGGCGGCAGGAACAAGAGCGGCCGCCCCAACCAUGAGACCCUGCCCGCCGCGUGCAGGGACUGUCCCCACCCUCCAGCGCAGGACUCCGAGGUGCAGAGAAGCUGUUCCACUUGCCCGGGUCACCCAGCAGACCUGGCAUUGCGGGGCUAUGGUGCCUGCAACGGCAGUGCCCGUUUGGCAAGUCCAAGGCGGCAGGCUGGGUGGAGCCGAGCCUUCACCAGUGUAGACAGACCACACGCUUCCCCAGGCACCUCCCAGGCAGGGCUGCCGACCUGUCCCCCAACUUCAGAGCUGGGCUCACCCUGCUCUCACUAGCCCUCAGACCCACACCAAGAAACAACUUGACCAAGAGUCCGGGAAGGAAAACACCCAGCAAAUGGGACAAGGGGCACUUCCUGGGGUGGCUUUGUCCCCUCCCACUCUCCUCCAUUAGUGACCUCCUGCCCAUCAGCCAGUGACCUCAAGGUCACUUAAUUUUGCAGAACCCGACACAACAUUUUUCCGGCCUUCUCUGAAAAAGGCUCAUGGUCAUUCAGAGUACGGGCUCCAGCCAGAUCCUGGCUGUCUGGGUUCAAGCCCCAGCUCAGCCACUUCUUAGCUGUUCAAUCCUGAGCAAGUGUCUUCACCUCUCUGGGCCUCAUGUGUAUAGUGGGGCAUCCCCCUCUGAGUCGCGGGGCGUCUCUAUCUGUAUUGCAGGACUUACAACUUCCAGAGUUGCUCUGCAUCUUGAACGAACCGGUGCACACGGCAAGCGCUCAGCGAGGGUUCCCGUGAUCCUCCACGUUCUUAAGCCUGAGUCCGUGCCGAGUGGAGCAAUGCGGCCGGGCACCCCACCCCGUGCCCACACCGAAAGCUCAUCUGCGAAACUCCUCAGUCACCCUGUCCCUCCUGCUAGAGUUACAUGUCCAAGUUAGAUUUUUCUUCUCUGGCAUCCACUUAACAACCCAUAGUUAUUAUUCUUUCUGGCCUAAAAUACAGUGCGGUUUGGGGAAAUUAAUGGACCCAGGCUACUUUCCCUUCUGAUGAGGUGGCAUCCCUAGCAUUUCUGGGAAACGAGGCACUGUUUUCCCAUCCAAAUGUCAUUAUGGACAUGGGACUUCGAGGUGGAUGCCACUUCCAGCCUGGGCUGCCCACCCCGCCCCCUGCCCCCUGAGCCCUCCUGGAGAGGAGAUCCUGGGAGUCCCUGAGUCCCUGCUGUCCCCCCACCCCAGCCCCACCUAAACCAAGAGCAUGAGAUCUCACGGCCGGAAAAAACUCUCCUCCCCUUGGGUCAGAAAAAGCAUAAUGCUGACAGCAGAGGCAGGCUUCUCGCUUCAUUCUUAGAACCACCAUUUGCAGGAGUUGUCUCCUUAGCACCACUUCCUGGGGAUACAGAGAGGCUAGGGGAACCCGCCGGCCUGCAGCCACACAGGCAGGGAACAGCAAGGGGGAUCGAAACCCACGCAAGUCCGAGAGAGAAACUCUGGCAUUUACCUUGUUGCUCAGCGUCCUCCGCAAGAGGCUGGAAGACCACCUUGCUCUCGCUCUCCCUUCCUCUCGCAUCUCAGCCUGGGCUCCAGGGCGUUUGGAAUCCAACAAACCCAACUCACUUCUCACCAGUGUGACCUUGGCUCCCAAUUCCCACUCUCUGAGCCUCAGUUUCCUUAUCUGCAGAAUGGGGGGCAAUGCAGAGCCUCCCUCAGGAGCUUGUGGUGAGAAUCUGCCAAGGUGGCGGACGCUCGGAAAAGUGCUUAGCUGGCAGGUCCUCAAUAAAUUAAGCUUAGUAUUCCCA
rnacentral:lncRNA from 1 species